CUGGCAUGUCGGCCCAUGACGGAGGAGGAUUCACAGCCCGGCCCAGAUGUUACAAGCGAAGUCAGAAUGGAACACCACCAGCACCACUAGAUGGGCUCAAACGCCCCCGCGGUGGUGUACGGCCGCCUACGCCGCCCGCCGCCCGCCGCCGGAAUUUCGCCAUUCUGAUAUAAAUUAGUGCAUUGCAUCAGAAAAAUGGUUGUGGGAUUAAUAAAUGCUAAUCCUGUAGUUUAUGAGAAAAAAGAGAGGCGUGCUCGGCAGGCACCAGAAACCACAGAUGAAAAUGCGGCAGAGGCUAUUGACCAGCUAGAAAUAUUUGAUGUGCUUUCUUCGUUAACUUAUCUACAUGCUGUGUACCUUUUCUUUCCUGUUAUACUUACCUCUAUCUGGAGUUCUGCUGCCCUCAAAAUUUUUCUUUUGUUUGCACUCCUUAACCUUCUUACAUCAUAUUAGAGAUAUAAAGGAUCCAGAGCGCCCAUACUCACUGGAAUAGCUUAAUGUUGUAACUGAAGAUUCAAUUGAAAUCAAUGAAGAUUCAAUCGAA